GACGAACGCUGGCGGCGUGCUUAACACAUGCAAGUCGAACGGAAAGGCCCUGCUUUUGUGGGGUGCUCGAGUGGCGAACGGGUGAGUAACACGUGAGUAACCUGCCCUUGACUUUGGGAUAACUUCAGGAAACUGGGGCUAAUACCGGAUAGGAGCUCCUGCUGCAUGGUGGGGGUUGGAAAGUUUCGGCGGUUGGGGAUGGACUCGCGGCUUAUCAGCUUGUUGGUGGGGUAGUGGCUUACCAAGGCUUUGACGGGUAGCCGGCCUGAGAGGGUGACCGGCCACAUUGGGACUGAGAUACGGCCCAGACUCCUACGGGAGGCAGCAGUGGGGAAUAUUGCACAAUGGGCGGAAGCAUGAUGCAGCAACGCCGCGUGCGGGAUGACGGCCUUCGGGUUGUAAACCGCUUUCGCCUGUGACGAAGCGUGAGUGAAGGUAAUGGGGAAAGAAGCACCGGCGAACUACGU
rnacentral:rRNA from 1 species